ensembl:lncRNA
GAAGAUUAAGAGUUCCCAUAUCCUUGGGAAGAUCAGAGUUCCACACUUCAAUGUGACACUGAUUAAAACUGCUUUUCGCUCUGCCAGCCCUUCAUGCGACUGGUUCCUCAUUGCACCUAAAGGCUAACCCACGUGGAAGAAGAGAAUCCUAUAGAUCCUGUAGAUCAAACAAUAGAAGAGUGUAAUUUUUAAAUAUUCAGGUUUAAACUUUGGUAAUGGUCCAUGUUGUGAGGAAAAUCUGAGUAACUGAGCAGUUAAAAGUACAUAAUGAAAAUGCACAGAGCAUCGUAGUGAAGACUAUCUUAUUUCUGCCAUUUUAACCUUGGAGUGAUCAAUUUCAAAACAUAAUUUUUCUUCUCAUGUAGGGUUUUGGCAGUUGAAGUAUUUCUUAGACUGGCAAGCUACACAGAACAAUUACAAUCAUCUAAUUUGACUUGCCGUAGAAAACAGGACACAAUGUUACUUGCUAAUUUUGCUCUGAGCCAAUUAACUAGUGUGACCAAGUAUAUCUUUCAAAGACAUUCAUGUUUCACCUGAGGAUUUCAAGAAAUGGAGAAUCCAUUCGUUUUCUUGCUAGUUUGCUCUAGCAGUUAAUCACUCCCUCUGUUUAAAAUAUACAUGCAUCACCACCUAUCUGAACUGAUUCAUGGUUUGAACUUCCAGUUAUAGGCAAUUCAGGUUUUUCAUCUUUGGACUAAAUAUCCCUUUAUUCAACUGGUAUUUUCUCCCCAUCAAGUUAAGUAAAUGUCUUUGCUACUGUAAUCAAGUCAUCCUAAUGUGUUCUCAUUGAGGAAGGGAAAUAGCUUGUGCUUUUAUAGUGUCUCACUGUGUGACACUUCCUGCAGCCCCUAAAAUAAUCCUGACGCUGUAUUUUUCUCCCUUUUUUUUCUCCUUGCAUACUUUCCCAACAAAGGAAUGUGUGCUGUACUCCAACAGCAAAUGAGAAACCAAACUAUUUGAAUCACAAGCCCUAAUUGCACGAGUAGAAGAGGAUGCAGGUGGUAAGGCGCUGACUCUGGGAACAGCUCUCAUCAGUCUAAACUGGGAGGGGAGCCAACUAAUCCCACUGCCUCUACUAGAUGCACGCAGACCAGCAGCAGAUUUGUGCUCCUCUUUUGACUUCCUCAUAUCCUUAGCUGCUUCCCUUUUUUUUUUUUUUUUUUUCCUGCUCUGCUUGAAAAACAUCUGGGGCUGCCAUCUUCUGUAGCACUCCUGUAACUCUGAAACAAAAAAAUGUCAGCCAAAAGCAGAAUCAUAUUUUGCUGGUGCUAAUUAGUUACAUUUCAGAGUAGAGAGGCAAUGUGUCUUGUCCUUCUCUGAUGGAAAGACUGUAAGACAGAGUAAGCACCAGAAGUUGUGUCCAUUUCUGUGUAUGCUGUUACGUUAUGUAUGUCUUUGUUUAGAAGUUAAGUAGAUGGAAACUAGUUUGGAUGACUGACAACGUAAAACAAUGCCAUACUUAAUACAAUCAAAGUGACUGCCAGUCUGGGGAAGAGAAGUGGGUACAGGAGAUAUUCUUUGAUAUUCCUUCUUCUACAUUUGUCAUGACAUAUCAUGAAGGUUUUGUGUUUGUCAUGGAUCUGAAAAGAAUUGUUUUUUUCAACUACUCAGAAUAACUUUUUUAGCUUUCUAGGCUGGUUUAUUCCCUCCAAAUAAAUCAAACACUCCUCCCUUUCUUCCCCUUAUC